rnacentral:rRNA from 1 species
AACGAACGCUGGCGGCGUGCUUAACACAUGCAAGUCGAGCGAGAAAGGGGGGGGCAACUCCCCUGAGUACAGCGGCGCACGGGUGAGUAACGCGUGGGUAACCUACCCCUCGGCGGGGGAUAACUACUCGAAAGGGUGGCUAAUACCGCAUGAGACCACGGGGUCCUCGGACCCUGAGGCCAAAGGUCGCGCCGGCUUGCCGGCGCGGUCACCGGGGGAUGGGCCCGCGUCCGAUUAGCUAGUUGGCGAGGUAACGGCUCACCAAGGCUUCGCUCGGUAGCUGGUCUGAGAGGAUGAUCAGCCACACUGGAACUGGAACACGGUCCAGACUCCUACGGGAGGCAGCAGUGAGGAAUAUUGCGCAAUGGGGGAAACCCUGACGCAGCAACGCCGCGUGGGUGAAGAAGGCCUUCGGGUCGUAAAGCCCUUUCGGACGGGACGAACGCUCCGCGGUGACAAGCCGCGGAGCCUGACGGUACCGUAAGAAGAAGCACCGGCUAACUCCGUGCCAGCCGCCGCAGUAAGAC